GCCCUAUGCUGGGGAAUAACCUCGGGAAACUGAGAAUAAUGCCCCAUAGUUCACCACGCCUGGAACGGUGGGUGGAUCAAAGCUCCGGCGGCAUAGGAUGGGCCUGCGGCGUAUCAGGUCGUAGGGGGUGUAAUGUACCCUCUAGCCAUCGACGCGUACGGGUGUUGGGAGACAUUGCCCGGAGAUGGAUUCUGAGACACGAAUCCAGACCCUACGGGGUGCAGCAGGCGCGAAAACUUGGCAAUGCGAGAAAUCGUGACCAGGGAACUCCAAGUGCAUCGGGUAAGACCGAUGCUUUUCUUGACUCUUCAACGGUCUUGGAAUAAGGGGUGGGUAAGGACGGUGCCAGCCGCCGCGGUAAUACCGGCGCCUCAAGUGGUAGUCGCUUUUAUUGGGCCUAAAACGUCCGUAGCCGGUUUGGUACAUUCGUGGGUAAAUCAAGGCGCUCAACGUCUUGAAUUCUGCGAGCACGGCCAGACUUGGGACCGGGUGAGGUGUGGGGUACUCUCAGGGUAGGGGUAAAAUCCUGUCAUCCUGAGAGGACCACCUGUUGCGAAGGCGCCACACUAGAACGGAUCCGACGGUCAGGGACGAAGCCUAGGGGCACGAACCGGAUUAGAUACCCGGGUAGUCCUAGGUGUAAACGCUGUGGACUUGAUGUUGGGAGUGCUCCGAGCACCCUCAGUGUCGAAGCGAAGGUGAUAAGUCCACUGCCUGGGGAGUACGGUCGCAAGGCUGAAACUUAAAGGAAUUGGCGGGGGAGCACUGCAACCUGAGGAUUGUGCGGUUUAAUUGGA
rnacentral:rRNA from 1 species